rnacentral:rRNA from 1 species
GACGAACGCUGGCGGCGUGCCUAAUACAUGCAAGUUGAGCGCUGAAGGUUGGUACUUGUACCAACUGGAUGAGCAGCGAACGGGUGAGUAACGCGUGGGGAAUCUGCCUUUGAGCGGGGGACAACAUUUGGAAACGAAUGCUAAUACCGCAUAAAAACUUUAAACACAAGUUUUAAGUUUGAAAGAUGCAAUUGCAUCACUCAAAGAUGAUCCCGCGUUGUAUUAGCUAGUUGGUGAGGUAAAGGCUCACCAAGGCGAUGAUACAUAGCCGACCUGGGAGGGUGGUCGGCCACAUUGGGACUGAGACAAGGCCCAAACUCCUACGGGAGGCAGCAGUAGGGAAUCUUCGGCAAUGGACGAAAGUCUGACCGAGCAACGCCGCGUGAGUGAAGAAGGUUUUCGGAUCGUAAAACUCUGUUGGUAGAGAAGAACGUUGGUGAGAGUGGAAAGCUCAUCAAGUGACGGUAACUACCCAGAAAGGGACGGCUAACUACGUG